rnacentral:misc_RNA from 1 species
AGAAGAAGAAGAAGAAGAAAAAACGUAGUGACAAAUUGUUUUUCUUUUUCUCCUUCUUCAAUAUGAUUCAUCUUCAAUUUCAUUACUCUUGGUUUAAUUUUUGCUUUUAUUUAUUAUCUUUCAUUGUUUUCUUCUGCUUAAUUUGAUGAUAGGGUUGUGGUGGCGGUGGAAGAUGAAGAGAGCCGAGGCUGAAAUUACGUGGGAAAUCGAAGCAUGUUUGGUGUUUGUGAUUAGAAUACUGUUAAAGCAGAUGGAUCUUAUUUUGGGCUUAUUUGAGAGGUGGUGGACUGGCUCGAGCAACUCCAUUUCUGUUGUCCAAUCCUUGCAGAAAAAAGCUUUCUUCUUCUUUCUCUUCUGCUUCCUUGGCUUCUGGUAAUGAUUUUGUUGGUUGGUUGGUUGGUUGGUGGUGGCGGUGGUGGUGAUAUUGGCUGGACGGCUCAAUCUCUUCAUUGUUAUGGCAUAGAACUAAAAAGUCUUUCUUUUUCUUUCUGGGUUUCACUUUGUAACCUAGUCUUAUAAUGCUGAUAUGCAACAACAGGUUUAACUUAAUUUCUUGCUCUUUCUUGUUUUGGUUUUGUGAAUUUUCUUGCAUUUUCCAGGAAACCAAACAAUAAAUCUCCAUUAUAGCAGAAGAAGCAAGCAACCUAACCAUCUCCUUAAAGAAGGUAAAGGUUGGGGGGGUAAAGCUUUUAAUUUUGGGGUCCCCUAAAAGAUGCAGACUUCCAUGUUUCAAAACACUGUUUCAUUAUCGAUUCAAUUCAAAAUCACUGUCAGUAGUCUUUUGCUUCGGUCCCUAUUGUUAAUUUAUUGUUUUUUCCUUGGGAAAUGUAGAGGUGAGCUUUGAUGUUAUAAGUUCAAUCCUCUUUAGUUAUUGUUUUGUCAUCUUCAUCAACUUGUACAUUUUACUUUAAGAAAUUUAUAUUUAUAUUAUGAAUUGGGG